AAUAACUUACGAAUCGCAUGGCCUUGUGCCGGCGGAUGGUUCAUUCAAAUUCUGCCCUAUCAACUUUCGAUGGUAGAGUAGUGGUCUACCAUGGUUUCAACGGGUAACGGGGAAUUAGGGUUCUAUUCCGGAGAGGGAGCCUGAGAAACGGCUACACAUCCAAGGAAGGCAGCAGGCGCGCAAAUUACCCAAUCCCGACACGGGGAGGUAGUGACAAUAAAUACUGAUACAGGGCUCUUUUGGGUCUUGUAAUUGGAAUGAGUACAAUUUAAGUCUCUUAACGAGAACCAAUUGGAGGGCAAGUCUGGUGCCAGCAGCCGCGGUAAUUCCAGCUCCAAUAGCGUAUAUUAAAGUUGUUGCAGUUAAAAAGCUCGUAGUUGAACUUUGGGUUUGGCUGGAUGGUCUUCCUUACGGAAUGCACUUGAAGGUCGAAUCUUUCCUUCUGGAGGAACUACCGUGUUAUUCAUUUGGAUGCGAUGGGGAACCAGGAACUUUUACUUUGAAAAAAAUUAGAGUGUUUAAAAGCAGGCUUAAGGCUUGGAAUACAUUAGGCAUGGAAUAUUAAAUAGGGAAC
rnacentral:rRNA from 1 species